CUUUGAGCUAAUCUUCACGAUCGAGAGUCACAGCCAAGAGGAAGACAGGAAUAGUCCGAUUGUUACACCACAAACUUGCUUUUUCAAUUCGAGGCGUUCAAUGAGAGUGGAGGUCUCGCUGCGCUAACCACCAGGAGAUCCUUGGGAAAGGAUCAUGUGCACCACAAUGAUGGUGCUUACCAGCAUCGCUCUCAUCUUGCGACAUAGAUUCUCCAAUAAAAUAAAUCCGCAGAAUGAGGAAGAGGUACCAUACGUGAAGGGCGACCAAGCUGCAAACAACCGUAAAUGACAGUCUGCACAUGGCAGCUCAUGGAAAGAUCCAACCACGAGUGAAGAAACAACAAAGUGGGGGCGAAAACACUGAGGCUGUUUUGGUCUGUCCUGCACAUGCUCUCUCUUCUGUGACAGGGAACUGAGACAAAGGGAAUUUGGGCUGAAUUCCAGUUUGAAGAUAACAUCUUCUCUGUUUUCAUGCCAGUUUAAAUUUACACAAUGACCCGUAAUUGUUGUUUGAUUUAGUUUUGCAUUACCAUAUGAAAUAGCCCAAGCUAUA